AUGAACGCUGGCGGCGUGCCUAACACAUAGCAAGUCGAACGGAGAUUAGACGCUGACGAGACUUCGGUCAAAUCUUGUUAAUCUUAGUGGCGGACGGGUGAGUAACGCGUGGGCGAACCUGCCUCAUACUGGGGGAGUAGCAGUUGGAAACGACUGAUAAUACCGCAUAAGCGCACGAGAUCGCAUGAUCUAGUGUGAAAAACUCCGGUGGUAUGAGAUGGGCCCGCGUCAGAUUAGCUAGUUGGUAAGGUAACGGCUUACCAAGGCGACGAUCUGUAGCCGGACUGAGAGGUCGGACGGCCACAUUGGGACUGAGACACGGCCCAAACUCCUACGGGAGGCAGCAGUGGGGGAUAUUGCACAAUGGAGGAAACUCUGAUGCAGCGACGCCGCGUGAGUGAAGAAGUAUUUCGGUAUGUAAAGCUCUAUCAGCAGGGAAGAAAGGCUCGUAAGAGAGAUGACGGUACCUGACUAAGAAGCCCCGGCUAACUACGUGCCAGCCGCCGC
rnacentral:rRNA from 1 species